UCGGAAGGUGCGGCUGGAUCACCUCCUUUCUAAGGAUGAGAAGCUGAUACGUCAGCCUCUCACACAAGGAAAAGAAAAGAUCGUUGAUAUUAAAAAUUAAGGCAUAAAAACACAUAAAACUAUGGGGAUAUAGCUCAGCUGGGAGAGCACCUGCCUUGCACGCAGGAGGUCAAGAGUUCGAAUCUCUUUAUCUCCACCACAAACAAACCCAUUCCAAUGAGUUUGUUAAAACGAACCAACAAAACUAAAUAGCAAAAAAUAUUUCCAGUCAAGAAAGAAAGGGCGCAAGGUGGAUGCCUUGGCACAUGAAGACGAAGAAGGACGUAAGUGAACGAAAACUAGGGAUAGCUCACAAAAAGCACUGACCCCUAG
rnacentral:tRNA from 1 species